GCCACAAAUCAUUUCGCCUUUCCCAAUCAACUGCUUACCACGCUGACCAUGAUCCUAGAUAUGCCCAUGUGUGAAGUGGUGUAUUACAGUCCUGGUGAAGUGAGGGUGGCAGCCGGUGGCAUAAUGUCUGGAAAUGGAUCAAUAUAUCUCCUGACAAACGGUAUAUUUAUGUUUCAGAUAUCACAGACCAUGAGGUAGACGUUUUUGAGAGAAAAAAGGGGAGAAAUUAGAGUUUAUCAAGUCUGUAGGCGUUGGAUCGCUUUGUGAUAACAUCGAGGUGGACCACAAGACAGGCGACCUGUGGCUGGG